rnacentral:rRNA from 1 species
AUAUGGAGGGUGCGAGCGUUAAUCGGAAUUACUGGGCGUAAAGCGCGCGUAGGCGGUUUGUUAAGUCGGAUGUGAAAUCCCCGGGCUCAACCUGGGACCUGCAUCCGAUACUGGCAGGCUAGAGUCUGGUAGAGGGGGGUAGAAUUCCUGGUGUAGCGGUGAAAUGCGUAGAUAUCAGGAGGAAUACCAGUGGCGAAGGCGGCCCCCUGGACUGAGACUGACGCUGAGGUGCGAAAGCGUGGGGAGCAAACAGGAUUAGAUACCCUAGUAGUCC